GACGAACGCUGGCGGCGUGCCUAAUACAUGCAAGUCGAGCGAAUCAAUAGGAGCUUGCUCCUGUUGGUUAGCGGCGGACGGGUGAGUAACACGUGGGCAACCUGCCUGUAAGACUGGGAUAACAUCGGGAAACCGAUGCUAAUACCGGAUAAUUCAUUCCCUCUCCUGAGGGAAUGUUGAAAGUCGGUUUCGGCUGACACUUACAGUUGGGACCGCGGCGCAUUAGUUCGUUGGUAAGGUAACGGCUCACCAAGGCGACGAUGCGUAGCCGACCUGAGAGGGUGAACGGCCACACUGGGACUGGGACACGGCCCAGACUCCUACGGGAGGCAGCAGUAGGGAAUCUUCCACAAUGGACGAAAGUCUGAUGGAGCAACUCCGCGUGAGCGAUGAAGGCCUUCGGGUCGUAAAGCUCUGUUGUUAGGGAAGAACAUGUACCGGAGUAACUGCCGGUACCUUGACGGUACCUAACCAGAAAGCCACGGCUAACUACGUGCCAGCCGCCGCGGUAA
rnacentral:rRNA from 1 species